AAUUAGCUUAAUCUUGUGUGAUAGAAACCUUAAACUGCCUCUGAUGACUUCUGGGAAGGAACCCUGGGAGCAGCUGGAGGAGCCCUGGAGCUGGGGCCUGAUGCCUGCCUUUACGCUUGUUGAUGUGUUGAUUGGACCCAGCAUGGCACUAACUUCUACAGUACAGUUCAUCAGUGAACAGCACUGUGUGAUGACAAUAUUUAUGUAUAGGCCUUGUGUGAACUGAGGUGGCCCUGCUCUCCUGACUGCUCUCUCAGAGCACCUACUGCAUCGACUUGGCUACCAACCGAAUAUGGAGCACUUCCCCCAACCACAGCAUCAGCCGUGUCCUUAGCUGGCUUAGGCUGUGCUGCCUGUUUGGAGCAAACACAUAAGAUGUGUGUGUUUUACACUCUGAAGCGUGUAAGAACUAUCACCUCUUUGUCCUGCACGCUCCUAUAAAUGAAAGGAAGGUGUAUGGCAUUCUGAGAAUUAAUGACCAGUUUGGAGCCUGCUGAAAUAAUUUAAGACAUUGGCAGGCUCUCACUGUAAGCUGCCCAACGAAACCUCAGCGAGAGCCUUCACCUGGCUAAGGGAGGAACUCGCCCAUUUAGUUCUCAUCUAAUAGGCAGCUAGCAGCAGAGUAUCCAGGGGGAGGGUGACCCUGCUGAAUCAUGGGGCUAUCUGGGCCCUCAAGGACUUCAUGUUCUUUCCAUUAGCUGCCAUUUGAGUUCUGCAGAAAGAAAAGUCUUGUAGAUAAGUUCCUUAGAGUGCUGAGAAAGCUCAAGUAUCUGCAGAUGAAUCUACUUCAGCAGGAGACCAGUGCUGGCAUCCUGGCUUUGAAUGCAGGAGCCCCAGUGGGUGCUGCCAGACACCAGCCCUGUGCAGCAUGGGCCAGCAGCAGCAGGUGUGUGUGCUGCUUGGGGUGCUGCU
rnacentral:lncRNA from 7 species